CUCCCGAGGGGACGGUCUCCCGCCCGCCCUCACACACAGCUAGCUCUUCAGGCCAGGCCCCCAGGGUUUCGUCCACCUCUCACCUUUGACGACGCGAAUGAAGAAUGAGGAGGUGCUGCGAUCGAACGACUGCGAGGAAACACACCCGCUCUCAUGGCAUUCCCAGUAAACUGAGAAGACGUGAUUAAACCUCAGGAUCUCCUACUAAUAGAGAAAUGUAUAACGAUUUAGCUACCAGAUCUGAAUACUGAAGGGUUGGUAGGGGACCAGAGAAUAGAGGAAGCAUUGUAGGUUCUAGAGUGGAGAAGGGACCAUCCAAAAUGGAGUUUGAAAGAGAAUUCUGGCCUUUGUGUUUAGAGUCUGGAAUUGUCAAGAGUCUGAAAGCACAGAAUAAGACUGCAGCUAGAGCAAUUUAGGCGCCAUAGUUUGUCAAAACAGGUAAGGGGAAUAAAGGGGAUGACACCAAGAGAUGUGCAAAGAAUCUGAAGAAUUCACCUGAAAAGGAUACAACCUCCUCCUGGAAGGCAGAGGAGUAAAUAGGGAAUUGGAAAUUAAUUCCUUAUUUCUGCACAUGCACAGAAUCUGGGCCCAGGUGACUUAUGGAACCUUUAUAGAGACCACGGUGACUGACACUCAUGGGAAAGGGGGUAGAGGGGCAAGAACUGACUGUUCAUCAAAAAUUAUUAGAUGAGUGUGUCCACGACACCAGGAGAUAUGUUGAAUCAUGGACAGGGACCAGCAUAUCCACUAAGCUCUAUAUAUCUUGAUGGUGCAGGAUCCAAGUGGGAUGGAACAACCAAUUCCUGCCCAUCCUCCUGCUCAAUAAUACAUGUGCUCAGAAUCUGUUCAUAAUGCAUGGUGGACUCUAGCCCUGAUCUGCUCUCUUCUGGGAGCAUCUGAUAGAACAAACAGAAACCCCUCUCCCACUGUUCUCCUGUGUCCAGAGUGGGAGGCAUAACUGCUUUGCCUCCAGUCAUCAUCUGGGGGCAUAUCUACUCUUCGAGGACCAGGGGUUCGGGACCCUGGAACAGGAUCUGAAUUCCAAGCUGACCUCAGGGGUACAUGAAGACUGCUAGAUGAGACGGGAUCUCACUGUGUUGCCCAGGCUGGUCUCGAACUGCUGGACUCAAGUCAUCCUCCCAUCUUGGCCUCCCAAAGUGCUGGAAUUACAGUGGACAACCUUCAAUGCACUGGUACUUUGUACCCUGACCUCUACUGUGAUGAACACUCAACUUGGGCAAGGAAGUGAAAUUCUCCAAAGUGCAGUGGGUUCUGACCCAAUCAGCAGCCUUUGCUUCUCAGAUUCCUCUCAAGGCUUUAUGACUCUUCUCACCCCAGGAAACCCUACAACACGCACGGCCUUUCAGAACUGCUACAUGGAAUGGACAUUCCUCUGGGCUCCAGCUGAAUGUUUGUAAAUAAAAUAAUGACUGCGUGUCCUUA
rnacentral:lncRNA from 1 species